rnacentral:rRNA from 1 species
GACGGAGGAUGCAAGUGUUAUCCGGAAUCACUGGGCGUAAAGCGUCUGUAGGUGGUUCGAAAAGUCCACUGUUAAAAAUUGAGGCUUAACUUCAAAGAUGCCGUGGAAACUUUCAACUAGAGUAUGGUAGGGGUAGAGGGGAAUUUCCAGUGGAGCGGUGAAAUGCGUAGAUAUUGGAAAGACCACCGAUGGCGAAGGCACUCUACUGGGCCAUUACUGACACUGAGAGACGAAAGCUAGGGGAGCAAAUGGG